rnacentral:rRNA from 1 species
UACGAAGGGGGCUAGCGUUGCUCGGAAUCACUGGGCGUAAAGCGCACGUAGGCGGAUUGUUAAGUCAGGGGUGAAAUCCUGGAGCUCAACUCCAGAACUGCCUUUGAUACUGGCGAUCUUGAGUCCGGGAGAGGUGAGUGGAACUGCGAGUGUAGAGGUGAAAUUCGUAGAUAUUCGCAAGAACACCAGUGGCGAAGGCGGCGCACUGGACCGGAACUGACGCUGAGGCGCGAAAGCGUGGGGAGCAAACAGG